rnacentral:rRNA from 1 species
UAACUCCGUGCCAGCAGCCGCGGUAAUACGGAGGGUGCGAGCGUUAAUCGGAAUUACUGGGCGUAAAGCGCAUGCAGGUGGUUUGUUAAGUCAGAUGUGAAAGCCCGGGGCUCAACCUCGGAAUUGCAUUUGAAACUGGCAAACUAGAGUACUGUAGAGGGGGGUAGAAUUUCAGGUGUAGCGGUGAAAUGCGUAGAGAUCUGAAGGAAUACCGGUGGCGAAGGCGGCCCCCCUGGACAGAUACUGACACUCAGAUGCGAAAGCGUGGGGAGCAAACAGGAUUAGAUACCCUGGUAG